rnacentral:lncRNA from 1 species
UGUGAAUAUGUGAUCUUGGUCCCGGCUAGCAGAUGACAUAAAGGAGCUGAGGAUGACCAAAGGAAGCUUAGUUUCCAUAGCCAUAAGCUCCCCCAUCAAUUACUCUCUUUAGCUUCUUAUCACAUUUCAAAUCACAAACAUGAGUGUCUCCUCUAUUCUGAGCAGAAUGCUUGGUGUUGGUGACUCUAGUUUCAAAGGAAGAGGUGAACCUCCUCUUGUCCAGCGCUGAGGUCACCAUCCUCGCUCUGGAUUUUAUUUCCUCCCCUCUUCUCUAGGACCUCACACCUUUAAGCAUUAGUUGAUUAAAUCAUUCAU